AGCAGGAAAAUGUCAGUAAAGAAGACAGCAAGGAUCCUGGAGCUCCCACAAAAUGUUGUGUCUGGGUGAAAUUCGCAAGGUCAACUUACUUCCUGGAAAAUGGCCACGUUUGCAUUUGGAACAAAUGAGCCUCCGUCCCUUCGUCUCCCUGACCCCACAUUCUAUCCAAAGAUGACGCCCUUCUCCUCAGGGAGCAGGUAAAUGGGGAGAAAACGGACGAUGGUUAGUUGCAGGCAGAGAAUGAGGCAUUUGGAGGCGACGCUCAGAGGAGUGCACGGACUUGAAGUUGGCAGGGGUCCCCUCCAGGCAGGUCAUGACCUCGGGGACCUCCGCUAGCCCUGCUGCCCCCAGCAGGAAAUGCCAGUGGGUUGAGGGGAGCAGACAUCUCACCUGAAGACCGGGGAAAAGGCCUCGGAGAGAGGGGGUGCCAUGCUAUAUCUCACCAACAUGUAUUACAAAGAGCCGUGGCCAACGUCAGCCUGUGCCCCUGAACGAGGCCACGGUGGCAGGUGUAAGAGGGAAGAAAAACAAACGUACAAAUGAAAAUUUCCGUCUUCGUAUAUAGUUAAGGUGAGGAAGAAAGGCAGACUUCAGAAGAGGCCAGAAGCUGCCUCCAGCAGACCCAACUCGAGGCAGAGGCAGACCACACCAGAGGCAGGAUGAUGGGAGAGGGGAGCAAAGAGGAAGACCGGGAGCCUGCCCUCCAGAAACACCCGUGACAACGUUGCAAGCUCAUGGAUGCUG